UAAUAGGGGGCACUAGAGGCAUAGCA
rnacentral:piRNA from 1 species